rnacentral:lncRNA from 1 species
GCGCGGCCGAGAGAGAUGUGCUGUAGCGCACUGCUGCAGUAUACUGCUGCCCCCUAGCGGGCGGACGCCCCGCACCGUCACACGCAGCUCAAAUAGGGAAGCGGCGCCGGCAAGAACGCGCGUCUCUCGUCGCAGCAGCGCCGGAGUCCGCAGCGCCCACUUUAAUCUCAUUAACGCUUUAGGGCUUCCUCUCUAAUUGAGUUAGACGUUGCUGAACUACGUUUGUGGCUCCCCGCGUUAUUUUUUUUUCUCAACAGUACUGGGAUAUACAGUGUUUUUUUUUAUUGUAUUUGCAUAUGCUAAGCCUAAGGGCUCCGCUGGAUCCUGUCAUUCUCUGGCUUUAUUUUUUUUUCCAGAACCUGACGCUCGAGUAACUAAGUAUUGGUGUGUGUCACUGCGGAUCUGCCAUGUGUUUCCCUGAGCUUUCUUCCAAGGAAUCAUUUCAACAUGCAGUAAUACUUUAAACCGCAGAUCACUGGGGAAAGUAAAAGAAGAUUAUGAACCUUGGAAGUAUGGAACAUUUUUCUCUGGCUGGGCACUCAACAUACCUCCCACUCUACCUGCAUGGCUGCGCUUAAUACCUGUCACCAGGAUGAAGCGCAAGGACUCUUCAUCAGUUUUCAUCCAGAGGCUGGUUAUACAGAAAGUGAAGUUUUAUGCUACUGUUCUUGUGUCUGGGAAAAUACAAAGAGACUCUGUGUGUGUAAUGGCAACAAAGUAUGAGACAAAUGUCAAAUUCAUCCAAGACUUGUGAUAAAGAUGUGUGAUAAAUAACUUGUGAGCCCCUGUCAUGUGGCAGUUCUUCAGCAGAGCCUACUCAAGUGUGAACUGGUUAAUGAGAAACCGAAAUGAAAUGAGUUUGGUAGAGACCUGAUGAGGACAGGCAGGACAAGGGCAGCUGGAAAUAAGGAAUCAGUUACAAGUUGUGUUGCUGUUUAAAUGUGUUACUUAAUAUAAUAAAAUCCAAACAGAUACAAACA